AACGCACAUUGCGCCCUCUGGUAUUCCGGAGGGCACACCUGUUCGAGCGUCAUUACACAAAUCAAGCCCUGCUUGGUGUUGGGUGAGGCCCUUUGGGGCCCGCCUCAAACCCCUCGGCGUCGCCGUCCGUCUUCGAGCGCAGCGAGAUAACUUUCCAGCGUUUUCGAGAUGGGCCACGUCCGCCGCAGAACACACCUUUUUUUCUAUCAAGGUUGACCUCGGAUCAGGUGGGGAUACCCGCUGAACUUAA
rnacentral:misc_RNA from 2 species